ensembl:snRNA U2 U2 spliceosomal RNA
AUCACUUCUCUUGGCCUUUUGGCUAAGAUCAAGUAUAGUAUAUGUUCUUAUCAGUUUAAUUUUUUACAUUUCAGGGUAAAGGGCAAAAUAUUUAUUUUAAUUUUUUUACGGAAUUCAGACAUAAAUUUUAUUUCUUAAAACCCCUGAAAUCCCCAAUAUACAGGGCCUGACAUCCUCCACUUUGGGAUGUAUCACUUGC